CGAGGUAUAAAAGGCCUCAGAAUAAUGGUGGCUGUUUGGCUCCUCAGACUUGAAUUUGAGAUGAGGAAAUUCUGCAAGAGAAAGAUGCUGGACUUGCCUCUGUGGAUGUGUGCUGAGCUCUCACUGCAGGGACUGCCAGGCCUGAGUGGCUGUGAGUUGGUGUUCUUCUCC